ACCAGACUUGCCCUCUCAUAGAUACUCGUUAAAGGGUUUAGAUUGUACCCAUUCCGAUGACCGGCCUCUUAAGAGAACGGUCUCGUUAUUUCUCGUCACUACCUCCUCGUUCUGAGAGUGGGUAAUUUGCGCGCCUGCUGCCAUCCUUAGACGUAGUGGCCAUUUCUCAGGCCCCUUCUCCGGAGUCGAACCCUUAUCCUCCGUUACCCGUCAUCACCAUGGUAGUCAGAUACACUACCAUCGAAAGUUGAUAAGGCAGAUACUUGAAAGACACGUCGCCGGUACAAGACCAUGCGAUCAGCUUAGUUAUUCUGAGUCAACAUCGGACGGCCGAAGCCGCUUGGUUUUGUUCUAAUAAAUGCGCUCUUCCCUUACGGUCGGAGCUUUGGUGCAUGUAUUAGCUCUAGAAUUACCACAGUUAUCCAAGUAGGUUGUCAAGAUCAAGUAAAUUAUAGCUGUUAUAAUGAGCCGUUCGCGGUUUCACGAUCAAGUCGUUUAUACUUAUACAUGCAUGGCUUAAUCUUUGAAAUGAACACAUCAGUUCAGGGCAGGAUCAACCAGA
rnacentral:rRNA from 1 species